rnacentral:rRNA from 1 species
AGAGUUUGAUCCUGGCUCAGAUUGAACGCUGGCGGAAUGCUUUACACAUGCAAGUCGAACGGCAGCACGGGAGCUUGCUCCUGGUGGCGAGUGGCGAACGGGUGAGUAAUGCGUCGGAACGUACCGAGUAAUGGGGGAUAACGCAGCGAAAGCUGUGCUAAUACCGCAUACGCCCUGAGGGGGAAAGUGGGGGAUCGCAAGACCUCACGUUAUUCGAGCGGCCGACGUCUGAUUAGCUAGUUGGUGGGGUAAUGGCCUACCAAGGCGACGAUCAGUAGCGGGUCUGAGAGGAUGAUCCGCCACACUGGAACUGAGACACGGUCCAGACUCCUACGGGAGGCAGCAGUGGGGAAUUUUGGACAAUGGGGGCAACCCUGAUCCAGCCAUUCCGCGUGAGUGAAGAAGGCCUUCGGGUUGUAAA